GAGGGUUGAUAGGUUAAGAGCUAAUUGAGUGGACGUUACCCACAGAAGAAGCACCGGCUAACUCCGUGUCAGCAGCCGCGGUAAUACGGAGGGUGCGAGCGUUAAUCGGAAUUACUGGGCGUAAAGGGUGCGUAGGUGGUUAGAUAAGUUAUCUGUGAAAGCCCUGGGCUCACCUGGGAAGGCCAGAUAAGACUGUUUGACUCGAGUAUGGGAGAGGGUAGUGGAAUUUCCGGUGUAGCGGUGAAAUGCGUAGAGAUCGGAAGGAACACCAGUGGCGAAGGCGGCUACCUGGCCUAAUACUGACACUGAGGCACGAAAGCGUGGGGAGCAAACAGGAUUAGAUACCCUGGUAGUCCACGCUGUAAACGAUGUCAACUAGCUGUUGGUCU
rnacentral:rRNA from 1 species